ACAGGCGUCUGCCUCUCAGCAUGGGGAUAUUUUAGCUUAAGAAGUCCUUCAAUGAGAAAUGAAACUUGGGGAAGCAUGUGCUAUUUAUCCAGGCCAGAUUUCACAGUCCACACCCUCUUUCUCUGGUUCCCCAGAAGUGAAGACAGAGCAAGAUCCCUUGAAGCCUAUGUUCUGGAAUAACAACUCCUCCUGGCAAGGUGGCUCUGACAGGAGAAGCACAUGCAGUCAGUAAGAAGACAUCUGUUACCAUAUGUGCCAGCAGAACAGAAAACGAAAUCUGGUUUAAUUCUUCCUAACCAACAGUCACUUCUGGAGAGCAGAAUGGACAUGUUCCUGAGAACAGUUUACGUGGCUUUGCACAGGAAGGAUAUGGCUGCACUAUCAGGAGGAAGUCAUCUGCUUGAAGCUGCAGCUUAUGCUUAAGAUGGAAUAAAUGUAGUUAAAACCC